AUGGACAAGACGAUGGCCAUGGUGGACCAUGAUGCACCCCCCACAUGGUUCCAUCACGAUGAAGACGUUGACCAUGCUUUGGUCUUUCCCACCUCACCUACACCACUUGAGUGGAACGAGAAAGGUAACAUAGGUGAAGGUGAUGCUCUUGUUCCACUAGUGGACGUUCUUGACAUUGAUUGCUUGCAUGAUGUUGCUCCACCUAUUACCAUGCUUCAUGCUAGUAUGAUUUCCCCAUGCGAUUAUUUACCCAUUUAUGAUGAGUUUGAUGAUUGCCAUGCGGAUUCUAGUAGUUGUGAUGCCAUGUUACAUAGGAUUUCUUGUGAUAAUUCUCUUGGUCACAUCAUGUUUGACAAUCCGCUUGACUUGUCAUAUGCUAUGCAUGAGAUCAAUCAUAUGUCUUAUUUGCAAUCUCAUCAUAGUGACCAUGGAUAUGCCAUUAAAAUUAAUCCAAUUUGCACAUGUGGCAUAGAUCACAAGCCCUUGGUAAUUGGCAUUUGUUUUUCUUGUGAUGAUAUUGAUAUGUUUCCUUUGCAUCGUUUAUCUCAUAUGCCAUGCCAUGACCACCUAGCCUCGGAUAUGCAUUGUUUUGGAUGUUCUCCAUUUUCUCCAUAUGAUGUUUCCACUAUUGCUCAUGAGGACACCCCCAUAGUUUCCUCAUACAUUUUAGGAGAUUUUGAUCCUGUGCACCAUAUGCUCCCUAUGAAUGAAAAUGCUAUUGAUGUGCCAUAUACUUGUAUGCUAGAUUUGCAUCCCCAUCAUGUCAUACAUAACAACUAUUAUUUCAUGAUGGAUGACAUGUUCUUAUACCAUGCAUCAAAUUUCUUUGAACAAUGCUUAUCUCGUACUAACUCACACGUGCAUAUACACAUCAUGAUGGAUGAUGUGUACAUUUACCAUGAACACAAUUUCUUUGGUUUAUGUCUCUUUUGUGUAGGUACACAUGAAUACUUGUCAACCUCGCAAUCCCACGAGUUGACAAAGCGAGCUCUAGAGAGCAACGAUGACUUGGGAUCCCUUGGAGUGUCUUUCCCACCGCUGUCUUCGCGCAAAGACUACGCACAUUUCUUCUACAUGGCCCUCACUUGGCUAUAG
rnacentral:rRNA from 1 species